rnacentral:lncRNA from 1 species
GUAGUAGUAGUGGUAUGGGUAGUAAUGGUAAUGAUAACAGUUUAGUGAUGGUGGUGGUAGUAGUAGUAGUGGUAUGGGUAGUAAUGGUAAUGAUAACAGUUUAGUGAUGGUAUGGUAGUAGUAGUAGUGGUAUGGGUAGUAAUGGUAAUGAUAACAGUUUAGUGAUGGUGGUGGUAGUAGUAGUGGUAUGGGUAGUAAUGGUAAUGAUAGCAGUUUAGUGAUGUGGUGGUAGUAGUAGUGGUAUGGGUAGUAAUGGUAAUGAUAACAGUUUAGUGAUGGUGGUAGUAGUAGUAGUGGUAUGGGUAGUAAUGGUAAUGAUAACAGUUUAGUGAUGGUGGUGGUAGUAGUAGUGGUAUGGGUAGUAAUGGUAAUGAUAGCAGUUUAGUGAUGUGGUAGUAGUAGUAGUAGUGGUAUGGGUAGUAAUGGUAAUGAUAGCAGUUUAGUGAUGGUGGUGGUAGUAGUAGUAGUGGUAUGGGUAGUAAUGGUAAUGAUAGCAGUUUAGUGAUGGUGGUGGUAGUAGUAGUAGUGGUAUGGGUAGUAAUGGUAAUGAUAAUAGUUUAGUGAUGGUGGUGGUGGUAGUAGUGGUAAUGAUGACAGUAGUUGUAGUACUGAUGUAAUGGUGAAGAUGACCGUUAUUUAGUUAUAAGUUAGUUAUAGAUUCAUUUUCCAUAUUUAGAUUUUUAUAUUUAUUACAUUACAUUCUACUAUUGACUGUUACCAUUUUAUUGUUAUUAUUUUUGUGUUAUUGUUUACUACCAUUUUAUAUUAUUAUUUGUUAUUGUUUAUAAUUGUAUUACAAUGUAUAUUGUAUACAUUGCUGCUUUGGCAAUAUUGACACAAUGUUUUUCAUGCCAAUAAAGCAGCUUGA